CAGGCCUAACACAUGCAAGUCGCGGGAGAAACGUCCCUUCGGGGACAGAGUAAACCGGCGGACGGGUGAGUAACACGUGAGUAACAUACCGUUGAGACGGGGAUAACGAUCCGAAAGGGUUGCUAAUACCGGAUAAAACGACAGAGCCGGGAGGCUACUGUGGUCAAAGGUCCAAGCUACGCUCAACGAUUGGCUCGCGGCCCAUUAGGUAGAUGGUGAGGGUAACGGCCUACCAUGCCGACGAUGGGUAGCUGGUCUGAGAGGAUGAUCAGUCACACUGGGACUGAGACACGGCCCAGACUCCUACGGGAGGCAGCAGUGGGGAAUCUUGCACAAUGGGGGCAACCCUGAUGCAGCGACGCCGCGUGUGUGAAGAAGGCCUUCGGGUUGUAAAGCACUGUCAGGAGGGAAGAAACCGGGCGAGUCCCGUGUGACGGUACCUCCACAGGAAGCACCGGCCAACUCCGUGCCAGCAGCCGCGGUAAUACGGAGGGUGCAAGCGUUGUUCGGAAUCAUUGGCGUAAAGCGUAGGUAGGCGGCCGGGCAAGUCUGAUGUGAAAGCCCAGAGCUCAACUCUGGAGGCGCAUUGGAAACUGUCUGGCUUGAGUCCGGGAAGGGCCAGUGGAAUUCGUGGUGUAGGGGUGAAAUCCGUAGAUAUCACGAAGAACACCGGCGGCGAAAGCGACUGGCUGGACCGGAACUGACGCUCAGCUACGAAAGCGUAGGUAGCGAACAGGAUUAGAUACCCUGGUAGUCUACGCUGUAAUCGAUGUUCACUAGCCGGUGCGUGG
rnacentral:rRNA from 1 species